UGGAAUAUUCUCCCAUCAUUGAUAACACCCUAGGUUUUCCCACAUAUACUUAUGCGGUAUAUAUAUUAGUAAUACUUAUGUAUGUAUGUAUUAUAAUGGAUGGAAAUGGAGUACAUUAGAUCUAUGAAGCAAACUAGCCGUCUUAUUCCAUGAACAAAUAAGUAAGGAAUGCCGGUGAUAGGGAAGCAGCAGAGGAACAAGAAAUAGCAACCACAGAACCAAAGACGGGUGCAAAUAGAAGGAAGAUCCAAAAGAACAAUCACAAAGCCUUCUUACCUCAAUCAGUACGUCUGUUAAUAAGGGAUUAGUAUAAAUAGAAUAAGAAUUGAGCUAUUACCUUCCCUUUCUUUGUUUCUGGAGGCACUGCCCUCGAAGCUAUCUUCUUAUCUGUGUUCCUAUCAGCCGGUAACAUUUUUUUAAAUGUAAUUUUUAUUAAAUAACAAACGAGAUUCAUUGGAUAAAGAAUGAAAAUUACGUU